rnacentral:rRNA from 1 species
GAGUGGCGGACGGGUGAGUAACGCGUGGGUAACCUACCCUGUACAGGGGGAUAACAGUCAGAAAUGACUGCUAAUACCGCAUAAGACCACAGCACCGCAUGGUGCAGGGGUAAAAACUCCGGUGGUACAGGAUGGACCCGCGUCUGAUUAGCUGGUUGGUGAGGUAACGGCUCACCAAGGCGACGAUCAGUAGCCGGCUUGAGAGAGUGAACGGCCACAUUGGGACUGAGACACGGCCCAAACUCCUACGGGAGGCAGCAGUGGGGAAUAUUGCACAAUGGGGGAAACCCUGAUGCAGCGACGCCGCGUGGAGGAAGAAGGUCUUCGGAUUGUAAACUCCUGUUGUUGAGGAAGAUAAUGACGGUACUCAACAAGGAAGUGACGGCUAACUACGUGCCAGCAGCCGCGGUAAAACGUAGGUCACAAGCGUUGUCCGGAAUUACUGGGUGUAAAGGGAGCGCAGGCGGGAAGACAAGUUGGAAGUGAAAUCCAUGGGCUCAACCCAUGAACUGCUUUCAAAACUGUUUUUCUUGAGUAGUGCAGAGGUAGGCGGAAUUACCGGUGUAGCGGUGGAAUGCGUAGAUAUCGGGAGGAACACCAGUGGCGAAGGCGGCCUACUGGGCACCAACUGACGCUGAGGCUCGAAAGUGUGGGUAGCAAACAGGAUUAGAUACCCUGGUAGUCCACACCGUAAACGAUGAUUACUAGGUGUUGGAGGAUUGACCCCUUCAGUGCCGCAGUUAACACAAUAAGUAAUCCACCUGGGGAGUACGACCGCAAGGUUGAAACUCAAAGGAAUUGACGGGGGCCCGCACAAGCAGUGGAGUAUGUGGUUUAAUUCGACGCAACGCGAAGAACCUUACCAAGUCUUGACAUCCUGCGACGGUGCUGGAAACAGUAUUUUCCUUCGGGACGCAGAGACAGGUGGUGCAUGGUUGUCGUCAGCUCGUGUCGUGAGAUGUUGGGUUAAGUCCCGCAACGAGCGCAACCCUUAUGGUCAGUUACUACGCAAGAGGACUCUGGCCAGACUGUCGUUGACAAAACGGAGGAAGGUGGGGAUGACGUCAAAUCAUCAUGCCCUUUAUGACUUGGGCUACACACGUACUACAAUGGCGUUAAACAAAGAGAAGCAAGACCGCGAGGUGGAGCAAAACUCAGAAACAACGUCCCAGUUCGGACUGCAGGCUGCAACUCGCCUGCACGAAGUCGGAAUUGCUAGUAAUCGCAGAUCAGCAUGCUGCGGUGAAUACGUUCCCGGGCCCUGUACUCACCGCCCGUCA